AAGACCUAAUAAACAGAGAUCAUGUACAACUUUUAAGACCUCCAGAAAGUAUUAAAACUAAGUACCAAAUACAGCUCUGCUAGCUUAAAACUAACAUGCUUUUUAUUCUAAUACAUGGCUAUCAACUGCAUUAUGUGUAACUUGUCUCAAAUUUGCACAAGUGAUUUGCCUUCCAAAAGGGACAAAGUUUGUGCUUUCAUUGUUGCUGCAUUGCAGGGACCUACUGUAUUCCUUGAUAUUUCAUCCAGUAUUUAAAUUGUAAAACUCAUCUUGCAUUCAAAGAUACUGUUAAUCUGUUGGUUUGACUUUUUUUUUUUGGGGGGGUGGGGGUGGGAAGAGCAGGUAUUUUCUUUCAUUUCAGUAGGAACCACUCCUUCCUUGUUUAAAAACAAGUUACUUUAGUGCCUUUGUUAAAGUUAUGUUUCUUGGACUACUUAUAUUAAUGGUAAUAGGCCACUGUGCUAUUAAAAAAGCAGGAAGACUGCUCCUGUCUUCUAAUAAUGACCCAUGUACUUGCUCCUUUAACCUUCACAGCUUACAUUAACUUUUGCACCUUCAAUUAUAUCUUGUUAGUAUAGUUUUAUGUUGGAAAUUCUGUCAACAUCAUAAGGAAUCCCAAAACACUGUGAUGAAAGGAGUCCAGUGUAACUUGCCUUAACAGACCUCAUUUUCAGAAAGUGCAUCUAACACUGUGCUCUGUGCCACCCUUUCCAGGUAGAGGUGAUGCUUGACUUUAUAUUGAAGCUAGCAAUGAGUGCUUGAGGCAAACUCAGCUGAGAGCUAUCAAGAUGGCAUUCAGAAAAUCUGUUCCAGGGCACAAAGGUAACUUUCUGCUCUACCAUGACUUGUGAACAAAAUCCUUUUCAACUGACUAGGGUAGCCCUUGUGUGUGCAAUAAGAGGUCGAAACCUAAAUCUCUGAGGGAAUUCCAGGAUACUGAUACUAGCUACUAUCUUAAUAUUCAAUACCUACACAUCUCUGUGGUCAAAUGCUAAAUAUUCCUCCAUUAUGCCUUCAGAGACAAUUACUCCAUUUUCACCUUCUUCACUCUCUGGAGAACACAAGGUCGGAGACUUGGAACGGUCAGCCUUUUUGUGAAUGGGAGUAACAGAAAGAGGUACCUUCUUGCCAAAAACACUAAAUCUGAACAAGUGACAGUUUUCAGAAAGCAGAAAUUAAAACAAGUUGUUAUUCCAUUUCAAAUAGCAGCAUUUUGUGAACUGAGAGACAACAUGGUAGUUAAGGCUGAGCAGUAUUGAGGCCAACAAAUUAUGUAUUAAAGGAAAAACUUUGGCCUGGAUAUUUUUAAUUCUUGCCAAGAAUCUUAAAUCUUCAGGGAAAAAAAAUAAAAAAAAAAAAUCAAAGCUAAUUAAAAAUCAUCCUAAAACACUAAAUGAUAAAAGUACCACUAAACUAGUGCUUUGUGGUGUUUAAGUUCUAUACAAAUUUAAUAGAUGAUAACAAUAAAACCAGCUACAAUACAUACAUAUUCUUAAGAAGUCAGUAGCAGCAAAGGUAUUUCUAUUUACUGUCCACUUUACUGUAGUUAGCAACAAGCAGUCUUGCCAUUUUGAAUGCUGUGUUCAAAACUCAGCCUAACAGAAAGGAGUUAGGCUUCACAUUUUAAGAAGCUUGCCACUGCAGUCUACUGAGAACAAAAUUACCUUCCCACCUUGGUACAGUCUGGGUUAACCACUGGUACUUACUCAUGAGAAUCUUUUUCUGGUGGUGAACUUACAUCUGAGGAACCUGAACUGACAGAAGGUAAACUUGAAUACCAUCCAUACCCUUCAUCUGUGGGGAUCACAAUCUGCUUCCCCACAACUCUGCCAUGGCAAAAGCAAAGGAUAAACACAUCAGAAAACACUGACAGUAUGAUUAUUGAAGAGUGUGAGAAAACAUAGCAGCAAAUCCUAAGAAUUCUAUGUAGUUCUCUUUAUGACAGUUGAAAGUGGUUUCAGUUGUUUUUCUAGUACAGAUUGCUUUGAGUCAGGUAAAUACAUUAAGAAAGUGCUGCUUGGUUUUUUAUGCUCUGCUAAUUGGAAGACUUUUGAAUGUGGAUGAAACUGUUCAGGUUCAUGUAGCCAAGAUUUAAAAUGUAAGUUUCUAGACAGCCAUAAGUACCGCUGAACUAGGGCAGAAGGAUUUUUAUAUUAUUUUAAGCACAUGGCUUUCAGCUCAACCAUACAUCUUUUCUGAGAGAAUUUGGCUAUGUUAAGGCCAAGUCAGUUGCAAAUAGCAAAAAUCCUCUAGGAAGGAACCAAAUGCGAGAUAGCAGGAUGUUUAUUAAUGAGAAUGGCAGGCAGACUACCAAAGUGAUCUUUUUAUCUCUAGUUAUAAGUAGUUAAUUCUAGUUAUACUAUAAUACUACAGAAUUAUAUAAAACCACCCUGUUACUAAUGCUGUUUUAAAAGCAACUGCUUCCAUCCCUACCUAUAACUGUGAUGGUACUAGCAUUAGUCUAUACAAUACCUGAGAUGAGGAAAAUUGGAUGUCCACUGCUGGCAUUCUUCCCGCAGUUCCUCAACCUGCUCAUUUUCUGUCUGCUCAUAGAGAAGCUCAUCAGUUUGUCUGAGCAUCUGUUCAACUUGCUGUGUGGCAGCUUUAUCAAAUUCCUAGAAAAGAAAGUUAUCCAAUAAAUACCUACUGAAUAGCAUUCAGAGGGGGGUUUUAAAUAGAUUUUUUUUUAUAUAAUUGAAAAAGGCAAUUAAUUGUUUAAAGUUUAGUAGGACUUUAACCAGUUCUAUUUUUUUUUCACAGAAAGACAUUAACUUUAAAUAAUUUCUCUCCAGUGAUGAUGCAGACUGCUGUUAAGACUGAUGUUUACACAUAAAGCUUUCAUUGACACUACAGAUUAGCUAUUAAAACAUUUUAAAAUAUCUGUACUGUUAUAUUAAAAAAAUAGCAAUUUACAGAAAAGAAAUCAGAACAGGAAGUAUAAAAUUCAUCGACAUUUUAAUGUAAUGGAAAAUCUGUUGCUUGCCAUGUCCACAAACAACAGCAAAGCAGAAACCAGUGCAGGAUGGUGUGUUACACUGUGCAACUGAUGGAUAUUUGGGACCUCUGUUACAUGUUCUAGAAAAUGGGGUCAGUUCUUGGGUAAUUUAAAAUCUAAACAGUUCCAUCUUACCUCACAGAAAACAAUGGCAUGCUUUGUUUGGGCAGACAGAGAAUAAAAUAAAUAUUUCUAGAUUAAAAUGUUUUAUGGUCUUACUGUAUUUUGAGAAACAUACAAGUAUGCAGAAGUUUGAUAAACUCACACCAAGUGCCUGAAAGUCAUCCAUUCAUGUCUGGGAUUCCACAACAGCAGCAUUUAUUAUGGUGUACAGAUAAACUUAUGCUUUACAUGAUCUGCAUUUUCAAAAUGCUAGAUGAAAAUGCAGAAUAUUAAUUGAGAAACAUGAGCCUGGUAUGUUUUAAUCUGAGAGAAAGGAAUAAUGGGGAAGAGGUAAAGAUGUUCUUUUAUGAUUUAGGGAGAGAUCCAAUCCUCGUUUUUAUCCUGCAGUGUAUUUGCAAUGGUAUUUCAAAUGUCUUUCUACUCAGUGUGCUAGAUUUGGCUUGAAUGGUUAUAUUCUACUCACAUCAUAGCCCCAAGAGAAGGCUGAGCUGUCUUCGGUGGAGGCGUCAGCAUAACCCUGAAUAGCAGACCAUGAAUUCCCACGAUCAGCUGGAGUAACAGAAGGAUAAUCCGAUUCCUUCUGGAUUUCAGACUCCCUGAAAUGAAUAUAUUGAGUCAA